rnacentral:rRNA from 1 species
CCUACGGGUGGCAGCAGUGAGGAAUAUUGGUCAAUGGGCGUAAGCCUGAACCAGCCACGUCGCGUGAGGGAUGAAGGUUCUAUGGCUCGUAAACCUCUUUUAUAAGGGAAUAAAGUGCUGGACGUGUCCCGUUUUGUAUGUACCUUAGGAUUAAGGAUCUGCUAACUCGGUGCCAGCAGCCGCGGUAAUACGGAGGAUCCGGGCGUUAUCCGGAUUUCUUGGGUUUAAAGGGUGCGUAGGCGGCCUGUUAAGUAAGCGGUGAAAGUCUGUGGCGCAACGAGUGAAUUGCCGUUGAUACUGGGAGGCUGGAGUGUGUUGGAGGCAGGAGGAAUGCGUGGUGUAGCGGUGAAAUGCUUAGAGAUCACGCAGAACCCCGAUUGCGAAGGCAGCCUGCCAAGCCAUGACUGACGCUGAUGCACGAAAGCGUGGGGAUCAAACAGGAUUAGAUACCCCUGUAGUC